ensembl:lncRNA
CCUUCGGAAACCAAAAUAAACAACUUGCCAACGAGAAACUGGACCGUGUCAUGAAUCUAUAUGGAUCCAGGGGCCAUGAGGGGAAUGAAUGAAACGUGAUUCCAGAUUUUCAAAUAGUUGAAUCUCAGCCAAAUAUUGUCCUCCUAACAAACCAUACAUCAAUGGAAAGAUUAUUUAUUCAGCUUUCAGACGAUCAUUCAGGACUGGAACAAAUUGGGGGCGAAUAAAUGACGACACCUUUUCAUUUUCAUUGAAUACUCCUUCAAGUGAAACCUGAUGAUGACUGAGGAGCACAAAGCUCCUCUGGUGCACCUGCAGUCCAUCACUCGCU